AUACGGAGGGUGCGAGCGUUAAUCGGAAUUACUGGGCGUAAAGCGUACGUAGGCGGUUGGUUAAGUUAGAUGUGAAAGCCCCGGGCUUAACCUGGGAACUGCAUUUUAAACUGGCGAACUAGAGUUGAGUAGAGGGGAGUGGAAUUUCAGGUGUAGCGGUGAAAUGCGUAGAGAUCUGAAGGAACACCAGUGGCGAAGGCGACUCCCUGGACUCGAACUGACGCUGAGGUACGAAAGCGUGGGUAGCAAACGGGAUUAGAAACCCUAGUAGUCC
rnacentral:rRNA from 1 species